UACGGGGGGAGCAAGCGUUGUUCGGAUUUACUGGGCGUAAAGGGCGCGUAGGCGGCCUCUGCAAGUCGACUGUGAAAUCUCCGGGCUUAACCCGGAAAGGUCAGCCGAUACUGCAGGGCUAGAGUGCAGAAGGGGCAACUGGAAUUCUCGGUGUAGCGGUGAAAUGCGCAGAUAUCGAGAGGAACACCUGCGGCGAAGGCGGGUUGCUGGGCUGACACUGACGCUGAGGCGCGAAAGCUAGGGGAGCGAACGGG
rnacentral:rRNA from 1 species